rnacentral:rRNA from 1 species
CGGAGGAAAAGAAACUAACAAGGAUUCCCCUAGUAGCGGCGAGCGAAGCGGGAAAAGCCCAAUAUGAAAAGCCUGCUUGCAGGCGUUGUAUUUGGAAGUCUCUGGGGUGUCAGUGCGUGUAAGUUGUAUGGAAAUACACGCCGUGGAGGGUGAGAGCCCCGUCCAACGCGCACAGGACACUCCGUACGAGGCUUUCCUAAUGAGUCGGGUAGCUUGGGAAUGCUGCUCUAAUUGGUGGUAAAUCUCAUCAAAGGCUAAAUAUUGACCGGAGACCGAUAGCGAACAAGUACCGUGAGGGAAAGAUGACAAGCACUUUGAAAAGAGGGUGAAAAGAGCCUGAAACCGUCAUGGGGGAAGCGGAUUGCGUUGUAUUGAUGGGUUGCUGUGUGUUCAGCCGUUUUGGUGUAUUGGCACGGUAGCUUAUCUGUCGUGGGUUUCAAAUGGCUGAUUUUGAGCUGUUUGGGGCUGAGGGCUCCCCGUAUGGGUGAGGACGACAGAGUGAUGACGCGAUACGACCCGUCUUGAAACACGGACCAAGGAGUCUAGCGCGGUUGCGAGUCGAAGGGUGCAAGCCUGAGGGCGUAGUGAAAGCGAGUUUAAAACGAGCAGUUUGGGGCGGCAUAGGAUCGUUGAUUCUAAGUCUGACCUUGAGCAAUUGCGCUGGGACCCGAAAGAUGGUGAACUAUGCCGGAGUAGGGCAAAGCCAGAGGAAACUCUGGUGGAGGCUCGUAGCGGUGCUGACGUGCAAAUCGCUCGUCGAACUUGGGUAUAGGGGCGAAAGACUAAUCGAACCAUCUAGUAGCUGGUUCCCUCCGAAGUUUCUCUCAGGAUAGCGGGCCGACAUGUGUUGUUUUGUGCGGUAAAGCGAAUGAUUAGCGCACUCGGGGGCAAUUUGUCUUCGGGCGAUUCUCAAACUUUCAAUGCGCAAGGGUGCCGCUGCUUGGUUGAGCGGCACCGGCAAAAACGUCGGCCCUGUGGGCCACUUUUGGUAAGCAGAACUGGCGAUACGGGAUGAACCGUAAGCGUGGUUAAGGCGCCAAACUGCCCGCUUAGAGACCCCACAAAAGGUGUUGAUUCAUCGAGACAGCAGGACGGUGGCCAUGGAAGUCGGAAUCCGCUAAGGAGUGUGUAACAACUCACCUGCCGAAUGAAUUAGCCCUGAAAAUGGAUGGCGCUGAAGCGGGCGGCCGACACCACGCCGUCUGGUAAAGAAUUAUGAUCAGAUGAGUAGGAGGGCGUGGCGGUUGUAUCGAAGGGUAUGUGCAGACAUGCCUGGAACGGCCGCUAGUGCAGAUCUUGGUGGUAGUAGCAAGUAUUCAAGCGAGAUCCUUGAAGGGCGAAGCGGGGAAGGGUUCCACGCGAACAUUGAUUGGGCGUGGGUGAGUCGUUCCUAAGUCGAGUGGCGAUUGCUAAGUAGCGGCGAAAGGGAAGCUGGUUGACAUUCCAGCACACGGAUGUGGAGGCGGUGACGCGUAUUGGGACGAACACGCUGGCGGUGGCGCUGGGCAGAGUUGUCUUUUCUGUUUGACUUUGCGCGCGCGGUGUGGAAUCCGCUUGUCGGGAGAAACACGCGUGUCGAGGCAGAGCGCCGGGGCUUUUCCGGCGUCCAGCUCGCCACCGACGGCCCUUGAAACUUUGUCUGCUUAAUAAAUCCACGCCGUGGCGUACCGAUCACCGCAUCAGGUCCCCAAGGUGAACAGCCUCUGCUCUAUAUGAACAAUGCAGGUAAGGGAAGUCGGCAAAUUAGACCCGUAACUUUGGGAUAAGGGUUGGCUCUAGUGCUGCGUGGGAGUGGUUGCCCACGGUUGGGGAGGUUGGCGACGCUGGCUUGGCGCGGGGCCUUCGGGACUUGUGCCGGCUGCUGAGCUGGUUUUUCUGCUUUGGGCGACGCCCACAGCAUGCAGCAGACUAGAACUGCAACGGGCAAAGGGAAUCCGACUGUUUAAUUAAAACAAAGCAUUGCGAGGGCCGUGGCCGGUGAUGACGCAAU